UCAAAAGUCAAGUCGGGGAUGCCCUAAGUGCUUCCGUCUACACCCAUGUCUUUUGUGUACUCGUUGUUUCCUCGGCUGGCGUAAGUCGCCGAUGGACAAACUAAAACCUUUUUGUAAUUGCAAUCAGCGUCAUGAAAUAUAAUAAUAUUUA
rnacentral:misc_RNA from 1 species